UCCUACGGGAGGCAGCAGUGAGGAAUAUUGGACAAUGGAUGGAAAUCUGAUCCAGCCAUGCCGCGUGCAGGAAGACGGCCUUAUGGGUUGUAAACUGCUUUUAUACGGGAGCAAUAAGGGUUACGAGUAAUCCGAUGAGAGUACUGUAUGAAUAAGGAUCGGCUAACUCCGUGCCAGCAGCCGCGGUAAUACGGAGGAUCCGAGCGUUAUCCGGAAUUAUUGGGUUUAAAGGGUGCGUAGGCGGCCAUUUAAGUCAGCGGUGAAAUUUUGCAGCUUAACUGUAACAGUGCCGUUGAUACUGUUUGGCUAGGAUUUGGUUGUAGUGUGCGGAAUGUGUGGUGUAGCGGUGAAAUGCUUAGAUAUCACACAGAACACCGAUUGCGAAGGCAGCACACUAAGUCAUUAUUGACGCUGAGGCACGAAAGUGUGGGGAUCAAACAGGAUUAGAUACCCUGGUAGUCCACACUGUAAACGAUGAUAACUCGCUGUCGGCGAUACACAGUCGGUGGCCAAGCGAAAGCAUAAGU
rnacentral:rRNA from 1 species